GUGCUUGCUUCGGCAGCACAUAUACUAAAAUUAGAACAAUACAGAGAAGAUUAGCAUGGUCCCUGUGCAAGGAUAACACACAAAUUCGUGAUGCGUUCUAUAUUUUU
ensembl:snRNA U6 U6 spliceosomal RNA